CUUCCAGACUCCUGACCACUUGACAAACCCUUCAUCACUACUCAUCCAAAACGGAUGUCCAGGUACACUGCCUGAAAAUCUGCCUAGUUGGAGGAUUUUGCCUCAACUCUGCCUCUCAGGAUCACUUCUGAAUAAGACUGUAUUUAGCAGCAAUUUUUGGUGUUUACUAACAUAUUGAGACAACAUCACUAUGAACCAUUACAUUGGAACCACUGUGAGAUAGAUAGAUGAGUCCACUGAGGCACAGAGAAGUUGAGUAACUUGUUGAAGAACCACAAUCCUACCCAAAUCAAUGAGAGUCUCUUUCACAGAAAUAGAAGCACCAGCACAUGAGUACGUAUGCCACGGUGGGUCUGGAAACAUCUUCUCAGUUGGGACGCCUGGCUCCUGUUGUAGAACAGGGUAUGAAAGGUUAAUCCACUAAAUGCCUAACAAUUUUUGUCCAAAAUGUCUACUUAAUGGCACUAAAGUAGCUGGGACAAAUUGUGCAGUUACCAGUAGAAUUUAAUGAAGUAAAUGCAAACCAUCUGUGAGAGUCUUAAAAUCUUUUGGAAACCUCUUUAUUGAAAAUAACAGAUGGCCAACUAUAAUCUAAGGCAAUAUUAAAUAUUAAAUAAUUUUGAAAGGAAGAGGAUCACAAUAAAAAUUUUUCUCUGUAGAGU
rnacentral:lncRNA from 1 species